ACCUCUGCUUCCUGGGUUCAAACGAUCCUCCUGCCUCAGCCUUCGGAGUAGCUGGGAAUACAGGAAACCAACUGUCAGGCCUCCCAGAUAGUAUCAGAAAGCUGAAGAUUUCCAGAUCACUGCAUCCUAACAACAAGGUGCCAGCACGCUGAUUCAACUACCUACUGCCUGGAGCAACUCCUACAUAAACUCCUAACUUUAUUUGGUUACAGAGACAGAUUUUAGACUUGUCUCCCAUAUCCUGGCUGGCAUCACCAGCAAUAAAGCCUUUCUUCCUGGCAGUACUUGUUGUCUCAGUGAUUGGCUUUCUGUGUGGGCCUCCCCCCGGAUAUUUCUGAUUCACCACCAGUUGGCCUUAUUCUCUUGACACCCUGAGAAACCAGCCUUUUAAUCCUGGAAACAUUUAUUAGAGUUGACAGCCAUGCUGCAGAGGCGUGGACUGAAUGUUCCAGGAGGAUGUUUAUGCUCAACUCACAUGGUGUCAGAGGUUCUAGUACUAUGGAAAUUCCCCAGCCCUCCCACCAGCAUUUCGUUUAUGACAGUCUGCGUGUGAAGUUUUGGUCUCUAUCGGUUAUCAUGCUCCACCUUGCAGUCUGUCGGAAACACCAGCGAUAUGAUGUUAACAGGUGUUUCUAGGAGCUGCAGAGCUCACAGCAGCAUUGUCCAGGAAGGACACACAGACAGAAUCGCCGUCCCAGGUUGGAGGAGAGAAUGGCACCAGAACGAGCUCAGGCCCAGCGCUCUGUGGAGUGGACCUUUGGGGCCCACUGCAGGAGCAUGAUCCCACCAAUUCAGAUGGCUGCAGGGGCUGGGAAGGUGAUACACAGGACUAAAAGAGACCUUUUAGAGGAAGGAGCUGUGUCUUAAGCCAUUUUGUGUUACUAUAAUGGAAUACCUGAGGCUGGGCAAUAUAUAUAUGUAUAUAUGAUGGUUUAUUUGGCUCACGAUUCUGAUGGUUGGAAAGUUCAUGAUCAGGCAUCUGCUUCUAGUGAGGGCCUUGCUCUGCUUCCGCUCAGGGUGGAAAGUGGAAGGGGGCCGUGUGAGCAGAGAUGGCAGAGAUGGCAUGGCAAGAGGAAGCACGUGUGUGGGGAGGCGCCAGGGGCAUUUUAACAACCAGCUCUCUUGGGAACUAACAGAGCGAGAACUCAUUCAUUACCAUGGGGAUGGCACCAAGCCAUUCAUGAGGGAUCCACCCCAUGACCCACACACCUCCCACCAGGCCCCGCCUCCAACACCGGGGAUCGCAUUUCAACCUGAGAUUUGGAGGGACACACAUCCAACUGCAGAGAGCUGCUGCAGAGCUCGCUGGUGACUGACAUGCAGAUCCAGAGGCUGAAUGUUGUUUUCAAGAGAAGAUAGAAAUUUAGAUUUUUUAAAGUGUAAACUAUCUCAAUGGGAAUAUUGAUAAUAGUUCAUAUAUAUUUUUUAAACUGUAUGACCCAAAUGAAACAGUUCUGUGUGCCUAAUUUGCAGCCUCUGGACCAUUAUGUGCCAGUGGAAUCAUGUGGCGUGGGGUCAGGAAGCAGUGCUGCAGGCCCAUGGGUACGGCAUGGGGACUUCCCCGAGUGCAGUGGGAACUCCCACUGCCAGUCCUUCUGGAAAGUGGCCUGUCCUAGGACAGCAACUCAGGCACAGGGAGGCAGAGUUUGCCUCCCAUGGGUGGAGGAGCUGCUGCUCUCACUGAGUCUCUGGAGGGCUGUCCUGCGUGGUGGGGGGCAGGUGUGCUCGUAGCACCCUGGUGGGCAGGCCCUGCUACAGGGAGGCAAGCUCGGGGGGACUGACUGAGCAGUGGCACUAGCAGCCCCAAGUCCCCUUGUUUUGAGCAUCCCUUCUGCUGACACUUCAAACAAGGCCUGGUUAAAGGUUAUAGCCCAGCUUCAGCUGGCUGCGGAGAGGAAUGAGGUGGAGCAGAGGAGAAGGUGGGGAGCGCGUGCUCCUUUUGCAAGGCCUGAGUAGGGGGACCCAGUGGCACCAGAACAGUGGUGAUCUCGGGGGUGCCAGCAGCGGGGAAGGCAGUCCUGGUCGCUCAGGAGCGGGAAAGAAGAGCAGACGCCCAGGUACAUGGGAACCUAUUCCUAUUCCAGAGCACGUGUGACACAGCCCAGGGGGACCCCCAGAAAUAACAGAAAGGUGCUCUGAGGGGUUUAACUUCCUGUGUGGGCAGACGGAAAUGCAUGCAAUUGGUUGUAAUUAGAGUAUUGAUGGAAACUUGCCCCCAUUUUUUUGUAGCCACAGGUGGUUGAAGCUGGGCCCUUUGUUUGAAGCAAUGACAACAGAUGUUUGCCUGGAGUUUUAGAUUUACAAAGUGAUCCACUAACACCGUCUCGUGGAAUCCUCACAUCAGUGGUGGGGAGGAGGUGUUGUAGGCAUUCGGAUCCCUGCUAUAGACGCCGAAUCUGGGGCUCACUGUUCGGGCAGCUUGUCUGAGGUCACGCAGCUAGUAAGCCACAGAGCUGAGAUACAAAUGCAGGUCUCAGAAUUCCAUACCCAGGGUUAUCCUCUCUGCCUGGCUCUCGGGGACAAGGUGAGGGGAUGAGCUACUCUAGCCCACUGUUACGGCUUGAAUUUUGUUCCCCUAAAAGAUAUGUUGAAGCCCCUAUGGAUGUGACCUAUUUGGAAACUGAGCCUUUACAGAUGUAACCAAAUUAAGAUGACGUCAUUAAGUUGGGCCUUAAUCCAAAGGACUGCUGUCCUUGUAAGGAAAGAGAAAUUUAGCUAGGCAUGGUGGCUUAUGCCUGUAGUCCUAACAUUUUGGGAG